UGAGGGAUGACGGCCUUCGGGUUGUAAACCUCUUUCAGCAGGGACGAAGCGAGAGUGACGGUACCUGCAGAAGAAGCACCGGCCAACUACGUGCCAGCAGCCGCGGUAAGACGUAGGGUGCGAGCGUUGUCCGGAUUUAUUGGGCGUAAAGAGCUCGUAGGCGGCUUGUCGCGUCGACCGUGAAAACUUGGGGCUCAACCCCAAGCCUGCGGUCGAUACGGGCAGGCUAGAGUUCGGUAGGGGAGACUGGAAUUCCUGGUGUAGCGGUGAAAUGCGCAGAUAUCAGGAGGAACACCGAUGGCGAAGGCAGGUCUCUGGGCCGAUACUGACGCUGAGGAGCGAAAGCGUGGGGAGCGAACAGGAUUAGAUACCCUGGUAGUCCACGCUGUAAACGUUGGGCGCUAGGUGUGGGGGGCCUCUCCG
rnacentral:rRNA from 2 species